rnacentral:rRNA from 1 species
CGGCGGACGGGUGAGUAACACGUGGGUAACCUGCCUGUAAGACUGGGAUAACUCCGGGAAACCGGGGCUAAUACCGGAUGCUUGAUUGAACCGCAUGGUUCAAUUAUAAAAGGUGGCUUUCAGCUACCACUUGCAGAUGGACCCGCGGCGCAUUAGCUAGUUGGUGAGGUAACGGCUCACCAAGGCGACGAUGCGUAGCCGACCUGAGAGGGUGAUCGGCCACACUGGGACUGAGACACGGCCCAGACUCCUACGGGAGGCAGCAGUGGUCAUAAGCUGUUUCCUG